rnacentral:rRNA from 1 species
UACGUAGGGGGCAAGCGUUGUCCGGAAUCAUUGGGCGUAAAGCGCGCGUAGGUGGUCCUGUAAGUCCGCUGUGAAAGUCAAAGGCUCAACCUUUGAAAGCCGGUGGAUACUGCAUGACUAGAGUACGGAAGAGGCGAGUGGAAUUCCUGGUGUAGCGGUGGAAUGCGCAGAUAUCAGGAGGAACACCAAUAGCGAAGGCAGCUCGCUGGGACGUUACUGACACUGAGGCGCGAAAGCGUGGGGAGCAAACGGG